AAACAAAUAUAUACUAGUUCAGUGAUAAUGAACGCCAUACUAAUUUCCAAAUUGUACACAAGAAACUAAAAUUAAAAUAAUACAAGACUAACAAAGGCCAGAGGCUCCUAACUUGGGACAGGCGCAAAAAUGCGGCGGGGUUAAACAUGUUUGUGGGAUCUCAACCCUCCCCCUAUACCUCUAGCCAAUGUAGAAAAGUAAACGCA
rnacentral:lncRNA from 1 species